ensembl:lncRNA
GGACACAGUGGGGUGGAGGAGAGGGAGGGAUGGAGGGAUGAAGAAGCAGAGGCAGAUGAUAGACAUUGUCCCCUUCUGAUCUGCCCUGCUGUUUGAACGGUCCCACCCCCCUAGAGAGAGAGAUUUGGUUGGGAGUUCCUGUUUGGGUGGUCUCAACCCCCCCUGCGUUCAUUUCUUCUGUUGUCUCGCGUUCGUUUGAUCACUUCUGGAAGACGGUGACCCUCCCCCUCCCGAGCUUCCUCCUGUCUUCAGGAAAUAUUCACAACGUCUGAGAAACACAAAGCUAUAUCAUAUAAUGUAGAGGUGAGGGAUAAACGGCACAGCUGGUGAACAGGGGGAGGGAAGGGGGGGUAGUUUAGGGGUGUGUUUGAGGGGGGGAGAUAAAGAAGGUUAUACAGGUUUGACUGGAGUAAAACAGGGUAUAGGGUGAAAGAUGCAGCCUAGUUGGCAUCUCGUUUUCAUUCUCAAUCAGAGGACAAUGUGGAUUGGUCGAGCAGGGUAUGGGGGCGGGUUCAGAGCUGGUUGUUGCGCCACACGUCACCUCCGUCACUCGUCAUCACAGAACGACUCCUUCCCAGAGAGUCCAAGUGGACACCGUGGCCUGUGGAUGUUUAGGAGGGGAGAACCGCACACACGCGAGGAGAACGUACAGAUUUAGUGCGCUCCGACGGGAUCCUAAGAGUGCGUUGCUAUGGGCUUUGUUCACCCUAGCGGCCAUCUUGGUUUGUGAGCUUCGCUGGAGGGAGCUGAGUGUGGACUCCCCCACCCAGGUAGAACCCAGUUGGCCGCUAGGUGACUUAGGCCCAUUAGAACGGCUUAUGAGCAUAUUGAUGUAGUUAUGUAAGAUAGAUAUAAUUAGAGAUCAUUAGAGAUAAUCCUUCCAGCAAAGAGGGGAGCUUGGUAACGGAUGGCACAAACCAACACACAUGAUGUCAUGCAGUGGAAAGGUCAUUUCUUGAGAACUUUAAUCCGACCAACGUCAGAGCUGAGAACAAUGUUUUGCAGGGCGUCGUUAUGGAUUUAGAGUCAAAUUUAAACCUAAGAACUGUUGAGAGAUUUCGCCAACAUAGGAUGAUAUAUACGAUGUAAAACAUAAACUUAGAAUGUAAACUCAAUGUGUUGGAAUGAAGAUAUUAGGAACCAGGCCUUAGUGUUUCGUGCAAAUCUUUUUGCUUAUGCCAUUCAGUUUUGUAUUGAUGGACGUCAGACAUUUCAAGCCUUGUUACGGUUUGACAAGGAGGCUUUUUGUCACGUGCAAAUUGCCCUCCAAACUCAAAGAGGGUGCACUGGUGAAGAGCUAGGCGAGCUAAUUUUUUGCAUAGGAUUCAGUCCUGUUCGGUUUUACCUUAAGCAUAGAAUAUGUGUGCCUUUUCAAUUAACCAAACAUGAUAUAACUUCCCAUGUUUUGGUCUAGCUAUAGUUUCUAGUGGUGAAAGGUUAGAGUAGACCUUCCCCAAUACCGUAAGAGCUGGGAACUUCUCUUCAGCUACGAGAUAGCUCUUAGCUAACUUCCAAGACUGCCCACUUACACUGCAUGCCGUAUUACUCCAGACUCAUACCGUCUCAAUGGUGUGGACAAACUCAGGUGCGAGGCAUUAUAUUAGUUACAUUUCAUGCCUUUACUUUUUCUUUGCUGAAUGACUUGCACUUGUUUUCAGUGACAGUUUUCUGAAAACUGUGGACCAAUUCUUGUCUUAAACGUUGUCCUUCAUAAUUGCAAAAUGUUCCUCAUCAGAUUCCAAGCCAAGGGAACAUGAAGCAAGUUAUUCCUGGGUUUUGCCAAUUGGGUUAGCUAACAAUUUAACGCUUGCUCGAUAGAAGACAAAAGUCUGGUAAGGUUUGUUUUGGAAUUUUCCAGAACACGAUACUUUCUCAAGAGCUUCCCAAAGUUGGCCCAGGGUCAGUCCAAGGUCAACGUUGCUCUGAAUGCUGUGGCGCUUGUUUUAUAACAAGGCUGUAGGAGGUCCCUGCAAUAAGCAAACCGACCAAAUUCCUUGAGAAAUUGUACUUUUUUGUAAACAUCUCUCUCGAGGACGUGAGAUGGCUUUAAGGGGAUGCCACAAACUAGUGCCACAUGACAACGAAGAGUAAUGUAAACCAGUUGUGAACUAUUACCUUCCUGUUGUGCUUAGAAAACGUUUUAACCUUCCUCUUCUCCAGGCAUACCAUGGACGAUUGAGGCUUAUUUCUUCCAGUGACUUAUGCGCUUUGAAGGAGAUACUGACAGUUUGUUAGGACACGUGGCACCAAUUUCUAAGCUACGUAGGAUAAAUGACAGAGAGGGAGAAAGAAAGAGAGGGAGGGGAAUACGGAAAAGAGGAGGGAAAGAUGAAAUCAUACAUACAUGCUGCUUGACUGUUGCGCUCGUGUUCUGUUUGUUGUUUGUGUUAAGUUUGUCUCCUCUGGGCUUCCGAUCUGAGUUCUUCGGAGAAGGUGACAUUUAUUUCUUGCUGCUCCUUCAAUCAACGCUAAGAAUGCAAAGGAAGAAAGAGAAAUCAUUCACACGUUUGGUUGGGACUGUGGCAAACUACAAGAGUGAGGUUUCUGUUGAUGGCGAUUGCACAAAUGAAAACAAAUUCUGACUUCCGUUCUUCGAGGGUUCUCUUCCAAUCCCCAAUGACGGAACCCGAGAACUCUUAAGCUCCAGAACCCUGGGACAUUCGGGAAGUUUCAAGCAGAAACCCCAAGAGGAAGGACAAUAUUAGAUAGUUGGGGAGGCGGUGCCUAGCAAAAAAGGCUUCUUCUUAUUGGGCAGGUUUUGCAUUGAGUGUUCUAGCCUACCGACCACACCACUUAUUCAUUAAUUCACCUUGCCUAGAAUAUGAAAACAGAUUUAUAUUGCUGCUUUUCUUAUGUACUUUUUUUCUAAAAUGGGAGUCCUAGAUAGCUACAAUAGUUUGUGUUGAAAAUUAGCUAUUUCUUUCAUGUUAAAUAUAAAAUUGUAGCUGAUAAAAUAUUUGCUUUUGUGAAAGCCAAGAGAGCGUGAAUAGGUUAUAGUGUUAACUUGUAUAAUAUAUUAUUCUAUAGCCGUGAGAAAAACCAGCUAUUUACAUCUACUAAUAACCUAAUAUUAAUGUUAUUAUACAGUUAAUAUUAUUGUCAUGAGACAUUUGAAAUCCUAUUUUUUAUUCUAUUAAAGAUUUAGAGGUUUUUGUUCCUUUUUUAGCCUAAAUUACAGAGUUUGUUGGUAAAUAUUGGAUGUAUUUAGAAUACUAUGUAUUUCAGUCAUAUUGUAAGCCGUGUUUAAAAUGUUAAUAUUGUUGAUUUGAUCACUGUUCAUACAUUUUUGUUCCCUUACUCAGAAUGAUGGUUUUAUUUUGCGUUUUAUUAUAUUUGAUAACGUAAAGCACUUGCGAGAUUGUUUUUGUUUGUUUUGCCGUGAGAAUACAUUUCUUUAUUUUCAGUCCAUAUUUGUUUCACACAACCUGUACAUAUUAUUUUUAUUUGUUCUUAUGGAAAAAAAUUUAGUUUGAAAUUUUGUUU